GGGAUACUAUAUAAUGUUGUUGGGUCUGUAACCAUGAGGAGGGGAUACUAUAUAAUGUUGUUGGGUCUGUAACCAUGAGGAGGGGUUACUAUAUAAUGUUGUUGGGUCUGUAACCAUGAAGAGGGGAUACUAUAUAAUGUUGUUGGGUCUGUAACCAUAAAGAGGGAUACAAUAUAAUGUUGUUGGGUCUGUAACCAUGAGGAGGGAUACUAUAUAAUGUUGUUGGGUCUGUAACCAUGAAGAGGGGAUACUAUAUAAUGUUGUUGGGUCUGUAACCAUGAGGAGGGAUACUAUAUAAUGUUGUUGGGUCUGGAACCAUGAAGAGGGGAUACUAUAUAAUGUUGUUGGUUCUGUAACCAUGAAGAGGGAUACUAUAUAAUGUUGUUGGGUCUGUAACCAUGAGGAUGGGAUACUAUAUAAUGUUGUUGGGUCUGUAACCAUGAGGAGGGAUACUAUAUAAUGUUGUUGGAUCUGUAACCAUGACGAGGGAUACUAUAUAAUGUUGUUGGGUCUGUAACCAUGAGGAGGGAUACUAUAUAAUGUUGUUGGGUCUGUAACCAUGAGGAGGGAUACUAUAUAAUGUUGUUGGGUCUGUAACCAUGAGGAGGGGAUACUAUAUAAUGUUGUUGGGUCUGUAACCAUGAGGAUGGGAUACUAUAUAAUGUUGUUGGGUCUGUAACCAUGAAGAGGGGAUACUAUAUAAUGUUGUUGGGUCUGUAACCAUGAGGAGGGGAUACUAUAUAAUGUUGUUGGGUCUGUAACCAUGAGGAGGGAUACUAUAUAAUGUUGUUGGGUCUGUAACCAUGAGGAGGGAUACUAUAUAAUGUUGUUGGGUCUGUAACCAUGAGGAUGGGAUACUAUAUAAUGUUGUUGGGUCUGGAACCAUGAUGAGGGGAUACUAUAUACUGUUGUUGGGUCUGUAACCAUGAAGAGGGGAUACUAUA
rnacentral:lncRNA from 1 species